rnacentral:rRNA from 1 species
UACAGAGGGUGCGAGCGUUGUUCGGAAUUACUGGGCGUAAAGCGCGCGCAGGCGGCCUUUUAAGUCUCGUGGUGAAAUGCCGGGGCUCAACCCCGUGCCCGCCGGAGAUACUGGGAGGCUGGAGACGAGUAGAGGCAAGCGGAAUUCCGGGUUUAGCGGUGGAAUGCGUAGAGAUCCGGAAGAACACCGGAGGCGAAGGCGGCUUGCUGGGCUCUGUCUGACGCUGAGGCGCGAAAGCGUGGGGAGCGAACAGG